rnacentral:misc_RNA from 1 species
UCAAACUUGGUCAUUUAGAGGAAGUAAAAGUCGUAACAAGGUUUCCGUAGGUAUGUAUCAAUCGAACGCUGUUCCUUCUUCUCCGGGCCUCUGCUAACGUGAAAUUUUCUAGGUGAACCUGCGGAAGGAUCAUUAUCGAGUUAGGGUCUUUUCAGGCCCGACCUCCCAACCCUAUGUUAACUAAACCGAUGUUGCUUCGGCGGGCCCGUCUCACGACCGCCGGGGGACCGUAAGAAGUCCUCUGGCCCGCGCCCGCCGGUGGCCUAAACUUGACAAAUUCUGGUUGAAUCGUGUCAUUGUCUGAGUACCAUUCUUCAUUAAAAGCAAAACUUUCAACAACGGAUCUCUUGGUUCUGGCAUCGAUGAAGAACGCAGC